rnacentral:rRNA from 1 species
UACGUAGGGUGCGAGCGUUGUCCGGAAUUAUUGGGCGUAAAGGGCUCGUAGGCGGUCUGUUGCGUCAGGAGUGAAAACUCGGGGCUUAACCCCGAGCCUGCUUCUGAUACGGGCAGACUAGAGGUAUGCAGGGGAGAACGGAAUUCCUGGUGUAGCGGUGAAAUGCGCAGAUAUCGAGAGGAACACCUGCGGCGAAGGCGGGUUGCUGGGCUGAUACUGACGCCGAGGCGCGAAAGCCAGGGGAGCGAACGGG